GGUACCUAUACCUACGGAACGUCAAGUCUGAAGUGUUUUCAAGUCGUAUUUGUAUUUAUUUUUCGUAGUAAAGUAGUUUUUUUACCUACUAUUGCUACACAUUCCAUUAGUCAAGUGCCAUCGAACGAGGAUUUUUAAGUUAGUUAAGUACCCAUCGACUUUUUCCCGUGCAAACCAUCUGAAACAUUUUUUGUAUGCACAUUCCACACUCCUGCCCCGCCACAAGUUAUAAAAAUAUGUUACUGUUCGCAAUAAAUUAUUCCAUUGACGAGAGCAAGCGGAACCGCACUGCACAACCCUGCGUUACCUAUUUGAAAAUGGCAUUGAAAUCGAUCUCGACUGUUAAAAGGCAGAGAAGUGAAAACUGGUUGGAGGAAGAUAAAGUUAGUAGUGAUACACCUAAAAUUGGACCAAGAUAAGGAAACAUUCUUAGACUUCCUAAACUAACGCUUGCUUAUGCUUCUAUUUAUUAGAUGAUAUUGAAAGAAUUGAUAAGGGAGGCGGUUUCAAUAAUAGAAAAUAAAAACACAGACGCAAACUCAAACGCGAAAAAGGUGGAGGCUUGGAAUAAUUUACGUACAAGUUUUAACAAUAUGGCCCGUACACCGCGAACACUCCAACAAAUUAAAGCUCAGUGGGGCAUAAUAAAAAUGACUGAAAAAAAAAAAGAAGUGCCUGGAACGGAAAAAAAUUCUCCAAACAGGUGGUGGUCCACCACCUGCUACUGACCCACCAACUGGUGAUGAUAUAGCAGUGUGGCUUCCUCAUGAGUUCACUGUAGACUCAAAUGAGUUUGACUCAGAUAACCAGGUAAAUAAAUAAAUCAUCUGUGGUAAAGAAACAUGUACGUCUAUUAAAACAUUACAAUGAUAAUUCUUAUUUCAGCUAACUAUCAAUAAAAUAGAUAAACCAGAACCACCAAUACUUAUUAGUCUCUGUGAGGUUGCUGAACCAGAAAUAGAAAUGAUGUCGCAACCAGGAACAUCCACAAAAACUGAACACAACACACCAACAAAUAACUUAUUGAUGUCACAGACAAGUACACCAGACAAACCACAAAUCACCACCACAACCACACCACCAAUGAAAAAACUGUAGAGUCCGAAUUAUUAUAAAUUAAAAAAUAAAAAGAUCUACAAUGGCAGUGCAAGUGCAGCACUGCAAAUAUCUGAAACAGAAAUUGCUUGCAGAAAGGAACUCCACGAGAUGCAGAUGGCCAAUGAAAGGCAAAAGUUAAAAAAUUUAUUAUUAAAAGAAGAAGUGUUAAAAUGUAA